rnacentral:lncRNA from 1 species
UAUUGAGAUGCGAUUGAUACAUAACAUUGUGUUAGCUUAAGGUGUGUACUACCCUCGUGUUGAGUUUGAAAUAUUAACACGUCGGCACCUUGCAUUUGAAUAAUGUUGUCUAUGUUUUUAUCUUACUGAUACUAUGGGGUUGACAAGCACAUACCUUUCACUCUGUAGAUGAGGAAACUGAGACACAGAAAGAGGAAACUGAUCAUCCGCUUGUUCCCAGUCCUGGUCCAGUAUGCCCACAGGCAUCUGAAGGUCUCUGAAGGUCUCACCAGCCUCUGUGGUUGGUCACCUCGUCCUUCCAUGGGCAGAGUGAGUGGACUCGGAUUCCCGCUGUGAUCCUGUCUGGAAGGAGACAAACCCUUCAUCCAGCUCAGGGCCAGGAGUGCAUUGCAGCGCUGAGGACCAUAUGAGACAGUGAACAGGAGAGGCCCAGACUUGCUGCUCUUGCCUCAGUACCCCCCCCACGGUGGUCCUGGGCCCGCGGCAGAGAACUGAGCUCGUCUGGUAGUAAAUACUGUGAAUUGGCCGAUGCGGCUAGCCAUCCUCUAGUACGAAUGACUCAGUUUAUUAAUGCUCUGCACAAGAUGGCUCCUUCACUUGCCAGCAGCCUUAAGCAGUAUUUCAUUAAAACUGGCUUAAUUAUUUUUAAAAGACGGCCCAAUUAAAAGCUAUACAUACUUUGUAUGUGUGUGUUUAUAUAUAGAGCUGUAUAUAUAAUAUAUAUUUCUAAGCCUGUGUAUGUGUUAUAUAUAUAUAUAUAUAUAUAUAUAUAUAUACUUAGCAAUUUAAUUAUAUGGCAUAAAUUGUUGGAAAAAUACCCGGGAGCUGGCCCCCUUUCUGUUGCUAGAUUCAGACUAGAGGCCACCCUGUGAGGGGGUGGCGUUGGUGGCUUCUCAAUGACUCCACAGUGGAAGUCCCAGCUGCGCAGAGAGCCCUGCCCCAGCGUCAGGGCCCCAAAGCUUUGGGAGAGGCAGGUUCUGACCUCCGCUCUCCUCUUGGGAUGCUCCUUUCCUGUCCCAACAGCACAGAGGGGCUUGAGCUGGGGAAUGCUGGGGGAAGGUGUCCUUGCCAAAAGAGACAUGGAGUUGGGGCUUUUGUUUCUGGAGCUGGCUGUCGAGCUCUCCUAAUGAGCAAAUAUGUUCUCUUUAAGGAAACAAACAAACAAAGCAAAAACACUAAUUCAUCUGGAUUUUAUUCAUUUGUUUUAAAUACAAACAAACAAAAGGAGAGGGGAGAAGUGGUUAUUUCUGCACCAACUAUUUCAAAUGCAAGUUCCUCUGUCGCUCGGGGUGUUUGGAUGGUGCUUGUCACCAUAGGACCCACAGGGCUAGUUCCAGCCGUUAUUCGGUAAGGCUUUUUUUCUUUCCAAAAUUCCCAGCGUUCCUUUAAGGCCCAUUUAGCUGCGGGUUUUGUUUAUUCUCCCGGCAAUCAGCAUUUAAAAUAAGACAAACAAGCAUUUUUUCCUGGGCUGUGAAUCCCUGCUGGCCUGCCUCCACCCGCACACCUGAAGCCAAUGUGUCCAAUUGAAUUUCUUCGUAACCCGCAUCCCCUUCGGAGACCUGCCCCCUCCGUAUACCAACGUGGAAAUAGAGAACUUAAGCAGGGCAAAUGUAAUUUUAAGAAUUGCUAAUGAUGCUGGAAAUCUGCAAUGCAAUUAGCAUCAUUGGAUUUGUCGCUCCUCCGCUCCUCCGAAGGCACGGUCCUCGUCAUACCGCUGUGGCAGCGGCGCCUCCGCGUGGGCCUGGGCGCCCCGGGUAUGCUGGCAGCGCUUAUGCACCAAAAUAUGAACAUUUGGUUAGGCUUCCUCUCUUUCUCUCUCUCAGCAACUGACUUCUUUGUCUCCUUCCUUGGUUGCAGGGGGAUGGAUUGUUUUCCAUUGGUUAUAUCCUUAGCAUUCAGUCCUCAGGGGACUCACUCACUCUGUUUUCUAAGUAAGUGGGACCCCCUCUUUGUGACCUCAUUUUGCCGUCUUGGAUUUUAGGGCUUCCCUUCACCAGCGUUCCCCCUAUGCUGGAACCCCAGUAAUUCUUGGUGCCUCAGCAGUGGUGAAAGCCACCCCCCCCCCCCCCCCCCCAUUACUCACCCUACGUUAUACUUUCCUUUCUAUACUUUCCUUUCUCUCUCUCUCUUUUAUCUUCUCUAACUUCCAUUUCUUUACUACCCUCUAUGGCUCAGAAGUAGUAUGAAGGAGAGUUAAAAAUAGGGAGAUGGAGGGAGCCAGAGGGAGAGAGAGAGUGAGAAAGCAGAAAAAGAGAAAACGAAUUAUUGGAUUCAAAAUAAACCUUUAUUUUUUCAUAGGCGAAUUAUUUUUGCUCCUUGAAAAAACUAACAUGGGCCAGGCACGGAAAACCAUGUGAUAGCUGGGUAAGCCGUUGCAGAAUCCAGAAGAUGAUCUUAAGGUGUCUGUUCAGUUUAGCAAAGGUUUCUACUCUGGGGAUCCUCUUUCAGAUCCAGGGGCCCAAAUCAGAAGCUUGUAGAGGGGAGCUAUUCUUCCAAGAUUCCAGAUGUGUCUGCGAGACAACACGUUAUGGGGCAAAUUGAUUUCACCCUUGGGAAACUGGAGAUUUUUCAAAGUUAUGUCUGCAAAGCCAGCUAAUGCAUUUCCCCAUUAGUGCAUUAAAGUGUGCCCUUAUUAAUUCAAACAUAAAGGCAACAAAAUAAGCUGUUAAAUUUAAAAUAUAAUACAUAUAUAAUGAGGAGAAUGUGUGAAAGCCUUAUUCAAAUGAAAAUACAGGAGUGUUUGAACUACUGAGGUAUCUUUUGUAUUGAAUUAUGAGCAUAUGUAAUAGAUUUAAUUAUUAAUUUCCCCAUUGUUCUAUGCACACAGACAGGGUUCAAGGCACAGUCAUUCUCUGGCUUUCAUAGAUCUAAUUUGUAUAAUUAUUGCCUGAAUAAAGAAUUGCUCCAA